AAGGUGAGGAGGCUGUUGACCAGCAGAGUGGACAUGUUACUGCCUUUGAAGGAGGACUGGUAACACUCAGCUGUAACUACACUACCAGUAGUCCAUCUCCUGAUCUCUUCUGGUACAUCCAGUUAACUAGGGACUCUCCUCAGUAUGUCCUGAGAAGAGAUCGUUAUUCAGGGGGGAGCAAUAGUGAUGAGUUCAAGAAGAGGUUUGAUUCCGGGCUGAAUUUCACAUCUAGCUCUGUCCCCUUGACCAUUCAGAGGUUGCAGCUGUCUGACUCUGCUUUGUACCUCUGUGCUCUGAGGUCCACUGUGACAACAAUAAAUUCAGUCACUGUACAACAACACAGGGUACAGUGUUGUUCAGACAAUGUCACAAGCUUCUCAAUGUUUGACGAUACACAGAAAGAGGAGGAGACAAGGAUUUCAUCAUCUCAUCAUUGCCUAGUUACAUCAGAGUGGUUUUACUCUUCUCCCACUGAUCUCACAGUAACAGGCAUGGAACCCUGGCUGAGGAAUGUACUGAUUCUUGCUGCAUUUUGUUAUGAAUGCAGAGGAGAAGACUCAGUCAUUCAGCCACCAGGAGAUGUGACUGCCACUGAGGGAGGACAGGUCACACUGGACUGUCAAUUUGAUGCAGUUAAUACUAAUAAUCUCUACCUGUUCUGGUACAAGCAUGAAUUACAUGGCUUCCCUAAGUUCAUGCUGGGACUUUUUUCUUUUAGAAGUACAAAUGCCACUGGAUAUGAGGAGAGAUUUUAUUCCCAUCUAGAUAAAGACUCAAAAUCUGUCCCUUUGACGAUCCAGAGGGCGCAGCUGUCUGACUCUGCUGUGUACUACUGUGCUCUGAAGCCCACUGUGACAACAGGAUAUACAGCCCCCCUACAAAUACUAGUGUAGCCUCUGGAGAUGGUGUGACUUCUGACAAGGAGGAGUACACCCCCACUGAGGGAUCAACAGUGUCUCUGAGCUGUACAUA